UGGGGAAUAUUGGACAAUGGGCGCAAGCCUGAUCCAGCAAUUCCGCGUGGGUGAAGAAGGUCUUCGGAUUGUAAAGCCCUUUCGACAGGGACGAUGUGACGGUACCUGUAGAAGGAGCCCCGGCUAACUUCGUGCCAGCAGCCGCGGUAAUACGAAGGGGGCUAGCGUUGCUCGGAAUUACUGGGCGUAAAGGGCGCGUAGGCGGCUGUGUUAGUCAGGCGUGAAAUUCCUGGGCUCAACCUGGGGACUGCGCUUGAUACGGCAUGGCUUGAGGAUGGAAGAGGCUCGCGGAAUUCCCAGUGUAGAGGUGAAAUUCGUAGAUAUCGGGAAGAACACCGGUGGCGAAGGCGGCGAGCUGGUCCAUUACUGACGCUGAGGCGCGACAGCGUGGGGAGCAAAACAGGAUUAGAUACCCUGGUAGUCCACGCCGUAAACGAUGUGCGCUGGAUGUUGGGUGGCCUAGCCACUCAGUGUCGUAGCCAACGCGGUAAGCGCACCGCCUGGGGGAGUACGGCCGCAAGGUUGAAACUCAAAGGAAUUGACGGGGUCAUAGCUGUUUCCU
rnacentral:rRNA from 1 species